rnacentral:misc_RNA from 1 species
AACGAGGCCGACCUGCGGCUGAGUUACCUGCGGAGGGAUCAUUAAAAAAAGUUUUUGCCUGCGGACUUGUUUCCAAGGCGCAAAAAACCCACACCGUGUGCACCGUUAUCGUUUCUUUGGCAGGGUUUGAGACGAUUGGUUUUUUUUCCUUUCUCUCAACUUCUCCUCUAGCUCUAUCCUUCGUUAUUUCGUUGGACAGCCUGGACAUGGGAAGCAGUUUUUUUUUAACUACCCCUGCCA